rnacentral:tRNA from 1 species
GGAGAGAUGGCCGAGUGGCUGAAGGCGGCAGUUUGCUAAACUGUUGAAGGGUUUAAUGCUCUUCCGGGGGUUCGAAUCCCCCUCUCUCCGCCA